AACGAACGCUGGCGGCAGGCUUAACACAUGCAAGUCGAACGCCCCGCAAGGGGAGUGGCAGACGGGUGAGUAACGCGUGGGAAUCUACCGUACCCUACGGAACAACAGUUGGAAACGACUGCUAAUACCGUAUACGCCCUUAGGGGGAAAGAUUUAUCGGGGUAUGAUGAGCCCGCGUUGGAUUAGCUAGUUGGGGGGGUAAAGGCCUACCAAGGCGACGAGCCAUAGCUGGUCAGAGAGGAUGAUCAGCCACAUUGGGACUGAGACACGGCCCAAACUCCUACAGGAGGCAGCAGUGGGGAAUAUUGGACAAUGGGGGGAAGCCUGAUCCAGCCAUGCCGCGUGAGUGAUGAAGGUCUUAGGAUUGUAAAGCUCUUUCACCGGUGAAGAUAAUGACGGUAACCGGAGAAGAAGCCCCGGCUAACUUCGUGCCAGCCGCCGCAGUAA
rnacentral:rRNA from 1 species